UACGGAGGAUCCAAGCGUUAUCCGGGAUCAUUGGGUUUGAAGGGUCCGUAGGCGGGAUGAUAAGUCAGUGGUGAAAGUCUGCAGCUCAACUGUAGAACUGCCAUUGAUACUGUAGACCUUGAAUUAUUAUGAAGUGGUUAGAAUAUGUAGUGUAGCGGUGAAAUGCAUAGAUAUUACAUAGAAUACCGAUUGCGAAGGCAGAUCACUAAUAAAAUACUGACGCUGAUGGACGAAAGCGUAGGUAGCGAACAGG
rnacentral:misc_RNA from 1 species